rnacentral:rRNA from 1 species
UACAGAGGGGCAAGCGUUGUUCGGAAUUACUGGGCGUAAAGGGCGCGUAGGCGGCCCGCUAAGUCGAACGUGAAAUCCCUGGGCUCAACCCAGGAACUGCGUCCGAUACUGGCAGGCUUGAAUCCGGGAGAGGGAUGUGGAAUUCCAGGUGUAGCGGUGAAAUGCGUAGAUAUCGGGAGGAACACCUGUGGCGAAAGCGGCGCACUGGACCACAACUGACGCUGAGGCGCGAAAACUAGGGGAGCAAACAGG